UACGUAGGGGGCAAGCGUUGUCCGGAUUUACUGGGUGUAAAGGGUGCUCAGGUGGCUUGGAAAGUCAGUGGUGAAAUCUGAGAGCUUAACUCUCAAACUGCCAUUGAUACUUCUUAGCUUGAGUACGGAAGAGGCUGAUGGAAUUUCAGGUGUAGCAGUGAAAUGCGUAGAUAUCUGAAAGAACACCAGUGGCGAAGGCGGUCAGCUGGUCCGUUACUGACACUAAAGCACGAAAGCGUGGGUAGCAAACAGG
rnacentral:rRNA from 1 species